AUAGCCCUUGGACAGUACCAAAAUUUUUUAGAACCAUGUUUCUUGACUUUGUAUUUGUUUCUUAGUUCUGUGAAUGCUUUCUAUUUGUUGUUAUUUGACUUCGUUUUGCUGAGUUAUUGCAUUAUUCAUCUUCAAUACUUAAUUACUAUAUGCUUUCUAUUUGUUUUCUCAAAUGGUAGAAAGAGAAGACAAAUCAUAGCCCUAGUAGAAUUGAAUUAUUUGACAUCACCCAUGUGCAAGCUAAUGGACAAGCAGAAAAUGAACCAACACAAGAUGCAUUGAAACUGAGGACACCCAUAAUGGCUGAAAUGUUCAAUUGUACUAGUUGAUAACUUCUUGCUUCGGAGAUGAUGAUGAAGAAUAAAAUGUAUCAAAACUUUUAACUCUUGGACAAAUUUGGUCUUUUUACAAAGUGUGGUUGUUGAUAUCUUUUCUCUUAAACAAUAAUUGACAUAUCGGCAGUUUGUAUGCGGCCCCUAAUUUGCUAAUUUGUAGGUUUGAGAUUAGAGAUCAAAGAAAGUGUAAUUGUAGCAAUAUACCACUUUUGCUAUACAUCAAUAUCAUAGCAUUUCAUCUCAACAAUUGUGAA